UGACGCAGCAACGCGUGUGAGGGAUGAAGGCUUUCGGGUCGUAAACCUCUGUCGGAAGGGAAGAACGGGCAUUGGUCUAAUAGGCCUUUGUUUUGACGGUACCUUUAGAGGAAGCACCGGCUAACUCCGUGCCAGCAGCCGCGGUAAUACGGAGGGUGCAAGCGUUAUUCGGAAUUACUGGGCGUAAAGCGCACGUAGGCGGCCUUGUAAGUCAGGGGUGAAAUCCCACGGCUCAACCGUGGAACUGCCUUUGAAACUGCAGGGCUUGAAUCCUGGAGAGGGUGGCGGAAUUCCUGGUGUAGGAGUGAAAUCCGUAGAUAUCAGGAGGAACACCGGUGGCGAAGGCGGCCACCUGGACAGGUAUUGACGCUGAGGUGCGAAAGUGUGGGGAGCAAACAGGAUUAGAUACCCUGGUAGUCCACACCGUAAACGAUGGAUACUAGGUGUCGGGGACUUGAUCUUCGGUGCCGUAGCUAACGCGUUAAGUAACCCGCCUGGGGAGUACGGUCGCAAGGCUGAAACUCAAAGAA
rnacentral:rRNA from 1 species